AGAGUUUGAUCAUGGCUCAGGAUGAACGCUAGCGGCAGGCUUAACACAUGCAAGUCGAGGGGCAGCAUGGUCUUCGGACCGAUGGCGACCGGCGCACGGGUGAGUUACGCGUAUGCAAUCUACCUUUCACUGGGGCAUAGCCCGGGGAAACCCGGAUUAAUAUCCUAUGGUACAUUUUGGUGGCAUCACCUUUAUGUUAAAGCUUCGGCGGUGAAAGAUGAGCAUGCGUCCUAUUAGCUAGAUGGUAAGGUAACGGCUUACCAUGGCUGUGAUAGGUAGGGGUCCUGAGAGGGAGACCCCCCACACUGGUACUGAGACACGGACCAGACUCCUACGGGAGGCAGCAGUGAGGAAUAUUGGACAAUGGGCGAAAGCCUGAUCCAGCCAUGCCGCGUGCAGGAAGACGGCCCUAUGGGUUGUAAACUGCUUUUAUACGGGAAGAAACACUCUCUCGAGCAGGGGGCUUGACGGUACCGUAUGAAUAAGGAUCGGCUAACUCCGUGCCAGCAGCCGCGGUAAUACGGAGGAUCCGAGCGUUAUCCGGAAUUAUUGGGUUUAAAGGGUCCGUAGGCGGGAGAAUUAGUCAGUGGUGAAAGUCUGUGGCUCAACCAUAGAAUUGCCGUUGAAACUGUUUUCCUUGAGUCAUUAUGAAGUGGUUAGAACAUGUAGUGUAGCGGUGAAAUGCAUAGAUAUUACAUAGAAUACCGAUUGCGUAGGCAGAUCACUAAUAAUGUACUGACGCUGAGGGACGAAAGCGUANGUAGCGAACAGGAUUAGAUACCCUGUAGUCUACGCCGUAAACGAUGGUUACUAGCUGUUUGUCCGAUUGAGGAUGAGUGGUUAAGCGAAAGUGAUAAGUAACCCACCUGGGGAGUACGUUCGCAAGAAUGAACUC
rnacentral:rRNA from 1 species